UCUUAAUAUAAUAAAGGAUGAGUUGUUUUUCAAACCCUAAUUGCUUUACCCUAAUCUCUUGCCCAAUUAUCACUUGACAUCUUUGUGUAUUAGCCAAUAAAAUGUUGACACCUCUAGGUUUGUAUUUCCAUUCUAGGUUUACAUGUUGAUCUUCAUUCUAGUGUUAAAUCCAUUCAAUAGUCAUCUUACACAUGGCUUACUAGAAGGUUUUAUGUGCUUCUCUUUCAUGUUGAAGGGAAUAGACAAGUGGUAUCAUGCAUGUAGGCAAAUGAACAAGUGUCUUCCAUAGAUGAAUCCAUCAAUCCUAUAUAAACCAACUCAUCCUAAAACUACAUUCACACACUCACUUGCUUCAAACCCACCAUUUUCAUUUUCUCUCCUUCAACUCACACACUCCCUCUUUUUUUUCCAUUAAAUUCUAAUUUUUCUCUCAUCUCUCUUCAUUNNNNNNNNNNNNNNNNNNNNNNCAAAUAACAAUGGUAACAAAGAAAAUAAAGAACUGUGUUUGUCAAAAAAGAAAGAACAAAGGAUGGAUAGAAAAGUCAUUGCAGAGAAGAAGUGUAGAAGAGGAAGCCCACUAUGAAGAGCAUAC
rnacentral:lncRNA from 1 species